rnacentral:rRNA from 1 species
UGGGGAAUUUUGGACAAUGGGGGCAACCCUGAUCCAGCCAUCCCGCGUGUGCGAUGAAGGCCUUCGGGUUGUAAAGCACUUUUGGCAGGGAAGAAACAGCCUGGGAUAAUACCCCGGGCGACUGACGGUACCUGCAGAAUAAGCACCGGCUAACUACGUGCCAGCAGCCGCGGUAAUACGUAGGGUGCAAGCGUUAAUCGGAAUUACUGGGCGUAAAGCGUGCGCAGGCGGUUCGGAAAGAAAGGUGUGAAAUCCCAGGGCUUAACCUUGGAACUGCACUUUUAACUACCGAGCUAGAGUACGUCAGAGGGGGGUAGAAUUCCACGUGUAGCAGUGAAAUGCGUAGAGAUGUGGAGGAAUACCGAUGGCGAAGGCAGCCCCCUGGGAUGAUACUGACGCUCAUGCACGAAAGCGUGGGGAGCAAACAGGAUUAGAUACCCUGGUAGUCCACGCCCUAAACGAUGUCAACUAGUUGUUGGGGAUUCAUUUCCUUAGUAACGUAGCUAACGCGUGAAGUUGACCCGCCUGGGGAGUACGGUCGCAAGAUU